CUGAAGAGGACGUGCAAAAAGAUCCCUUAUCUUAUUUGCUUUGGAAGAAUCAGAUGCAAAAGUCUUCAGGGUGAUCUCUUGCAGCAUCUUAGCUAAAAGGCAGAGCACCCAGAAGCUGAGAUGGAAAGUUUUUGGC